rnacentral:rRNA from 1 species
GACGAACGCUGGCGGCGUGCCUAACACAUGCAAGUCGAACGGCAGCACGGACUUCGGUCUGGUGGCGAGUGGCGAACGGGUGAGUAAUGUAUCGGAACGUGCCCAGUCGUGGGGGAUAACGUAGUGAAAAUUACGCUAAUACCGCAUACGAUCUAUGGAUGAAAGCGGGGGAUCGCAAGACCUCGCGCGAUUGGAGCGGCCGAUAUCAGAUUAGGUAGUUGGUGGGGUAAAGGCCCACCAAGCCAACGAUCUGUAGCUGGUCUGAGAGGACGACCAGCCACACUGGAACUGAGACACGGUCCAGACUCCUACGGGAGGCAGCAGUGGGGAAUUUUGGGCAAUGGGCGGAAGCCUGAUCCAGCCAUUCCGCGUGCAGGAUGAAGGCCCUCGGGUUGUAAACUGCUUUUGUACAGAACGAAAAGGUUUCUACUAAUACUAGGAGCUCAUGACGGUACUGUAAGAAUAAGCACCGGCUAACUACGUGCCAGCAGCCGCGGUAAAAC